AGUAUUUUUGGUUGUAUCCCUUUGUAUGGCUUUUUAAAUCGGUUUAUCUAGGCAUUAUAUAAGUUGUCAUCGUCUACUGGUGUGGGCCAUUUAUCCGUUAAAGAAUGGAAACUGUUCCAGUGCUGAUGAGCCAAGUCCCCUGGUUCUCUUCUUUCCUGUUUGGAAAACUUCCUUCAGUCGUUCUUUUCUAGCAGGUCUUCUGGCAACAAUCUUCUCUUAUUUUUGUUCUCCAAGAAGGUCUUAUUUCCCCAUCAGUCUUGAAAAAUAUUUUCACUGGAUGCAGAAUUUUUGUUGCUGAAAACUGUGUAAUACUUCCUUUCUUCCCGUCACAGUUUCUGCUGUGAAAUCCUCUGUCGUUCCAAUUGUUUUUUCUCCCUGGAGGUAAGAUGUGGUUUCUCUUCUCUGCUUUCGAGAUAUUUCCCUUGACAUUAGUUUUUGGAAGCUUGACUAUAAUGUCUAUUUGUUUGGAUUUAUCUUUUAGGGUUUGCUUAGCAUUGGAAGUUUCAGGCUUAUGUCUUUUUCCGAAUGUGGGAAGUUUCCACCGAUUAUUACCUGCCGUUCUUUUUCCUCCUGCACGUGGCGGCAUCAAUGUUAGGAUGUUAGUGACAGCCCUGCAGGUCCCCAAGGCUCUGCUCCCCUUUCUUAGCCUGUUUUCUCUCUGUUGGUCAGAUCUGGCAGUUUCUAUCAUUCCACUGUUCUUGCCUUCAUUCCCUCCAUUCUCUUGGUAAGCCCAUCCAUUGGGCUUUUAACAUUUUAACCACUCUAUAUUUUUUCAGUUCUAAAAUGUUCACUUGGAUUUUAUUGACAUCUUCCGUUUGUUAAGACUUUUGAUUUAUUAUAUGAGACCAUUUCAAGCAUGUCUGAAACAGUUUUUGAUGGCUGCUUUAAAAAGUCUUUUGUCAGGUAAUUCUAGCAUCUCUGUCACCUCAGCGUUCAAUGUGAUGGAUUCUCUUCUCUUCUUUCACUUUGAGAGCUUCCUGGUUCCUGUUACCAUAAGCGAUUCUUAAAAAAUGGAAAAUCCUGGACACUAGAUUCUCUGCUGUAAGAAUGAAUUUUAUGUGAAACAGGAGUCACGGCUGGCUUUCUGUGAUGCCACUCUGGCAGGAAAAGGGGCUGCUGUCCUGACCUUACCAGGAGAGGCUAGAACUCCAGGAUUCCUAUUUGAGCUCCACUGGCUUCUGAGGGGCUACACCUCAUGUCUGUGGGUUGUGAGUGGAAGUUCCAGAUCCCCACUAGGCGCCCACUAGGGUUAGCUGGGUUGUGGAGUGUGGGGGUUCCUCAUUACUUCUCCCUUUGUGGCCCCAGAGGAGGAAGGCCAGCCUUGUUUCCGCUGGAUGCUGGUAAGAUUCCUGACUUUCCACUAGGGGUUCUCUGACACUACCCUGGCAAGGAGCAGGAGAGGGUGGGAAAAAGCUUUCUCAUUCCUGGGUCCCUUGGCCUUGCCAAAUUCCAAAUAGCAAGGAAAAGAGGGUGUCUUGUUCCUGCUAGGUGGGGUGGAGGUUGGGGCUCCCCAUAUGGGCUCCACUGACACCAUGAGGGGCUCCUCCUUCUGCCUCUGGAUAUAAAUGUCCCAGCUGCCUAUGAGGCCUUCUCUGAUGCCAUCUUGCAGUGGGAGGUUGAGGCACCUCCACCAAACCACAUGAAAGUGGAAGUCCCGGCUCCCCACUUGGCCCUGGCUGUAUCAAUGGCCGGGAGAGAGUGGUGACAGACUUUCUCCAUGGUAGUCAGCUAGAGUAGAGCUCCUGAAAGUCUUCUGUCUUGCCAGGCUGCCUCGGUCCUAACCCACAGCCUGCAGGGAGCAAACUCUGGCUGGGGCUUUCAUUGUCGGCACCUGUGGGUAUUUCCGGAUCGCUGGCUGCUUCCACCUGAAGUCUGAGAUACAUAAGGUAAGAAGAAAACCCCGAAAAGUCACCCCCGUGAGGUUCUGCAGGCUCCAGGGUCCCUCGUCCAUCUUCCUCUCCUGUACCCUCCAGAAUCUUUGUGUGCGGUUCCAUGAACAACCUCCAGGGCCGUGAGUUAACACUCAGCAGGUGCCCAUAAGAUAGGCCUGGUCGUGCAGAGGCUAGUGUGCUUGAUUUAAGCAUCCAGGGAUUGCAUCUGUUUUAAUGCCUAGUGAUGGGACAGCUCAUGAGUCUAAGACGUCUUGUGAUGAAAUGAGCAUAUGGAUAUCUGCUUCUAUUGCUAAUGUUGUUCAGUUAUCUACUUCAACAAGUCGAAAUUCGCUGGGUUCAAGAAAAUACAUUGGUAUAAUAUAAGAGUCAAGUCUUCGUAGUCUGAGUCUUCGUAGCUUCAGUAUCAUUGGUGACCAAUGGCUUUAAGGCCUAAGUAGGGUUUAUGAAACCUGUCUGUUAUGUACAGGAUAUGCGGGAAUGAUUCAUGCGUCCAUUCCAUCCUCCUUGACCUGGAGAUCACUGAGCUUUUUAUUUCAAUGAUCAUGUUUUUCAUUUUUAGAAAUUCUCUUUAAAAAAUCGCCUGGGCUCCGCAUUUACAGCUCUUUUUUACUUUUUUAAAACAUCACCUGCAUGAACGUCUGCACGUCUGCUUCUGUUGCUUUGCACUCACCUGAUUUGUUUUUCACUUGGGAGGCAGGUCGCUCUUUUCCCUCAGCACUACCCAGAGAUUUCUUUGAGAGGUGGGUUGAGAUUCAUUUCCUUCAGAGGCCUCACAUUUUCUUCUUCCUAUUGUCUGGGGCAUUUCCACUGGGCACAGAUGUAAUUAAAAUUUCCUGUUUGAAGUUUUUUGAUCUGUACUACAGUGAAUUCAGACUGCAGACCUGGAAGAGGACUGGCUUGUGGUUUUCUGUAAAAGUUCUUCUCCUUCCCCCACAUAAGAGCCGAGGCAUGCACACUUCUUUGUUUUCUGUACAGCAAGGGUUAUUGCUUGCUGUAUGUGAAGGUGGGCACAGCUGCGUGAGCAUCGCGGCUCAGCCAUGUGACUCAGGCCUGGGCACCCUGUCUGGGUUCUGCCUCCAUGUUGGUCAACACUGCGCGGUGCUCCCUGGCAGAGCUGUUGUUGGGACUGGAGAAGGGGUGUGUGGAAAUGGACUUCGUGUGACAUUGGAAUCCUGCUGUGGACUUGGCUUUGUGGGCACAGGUGGGGUUAAGGCAGAAGCCCCACUGAUUCCCUAAAGUGUAAUGUGAGACUGUCGCUCAGAGGUUCCGCUGCCCGAUGAACUCCCGUGCCCUGUCUGGGCUGGCCACCCAGAGGUCUGUGGGAACGGGCACACACUGUGCCAAUCCAGACCCCAUCUCUGGCUGCAGAUGCCCUGAGCAGGUGCGUGUACAUGCAGGCUUGGUGCAAGCUGUCCUUAGGACUAGAGCUGCAGCUGCUCGGAUGGCUCCUGGUGGCAUUCCUUGCCCUCCACAAGCCCAGAGUCUGGCUUGUAGAGGGCAAGGCCAUCCUGCAGGGAAGAGGUGGGAGGUGGGGCUGCUGAAUAGCAGCACUCAGUGUGUCCUUGGCACCUUUGGCAACUAACAGCUCAAGGAACACCUACAGACCUCAGCACGGCAGUGAUGACGCUGAUGGCGUUCAGGGUGGACUGUGUGCUGCGUGCAAUGUGGACCAGACGCACCUGCUGUUCUUCUCCCUGCUUGCUGGCGCCCAGGGUUGAAGUGGGAAGGGAAAAAUGGGGCAUUACCAGUGAGAAGAGUGGACUCCUUGUCUGCAAAUGCCACCUGUUGUCCUUGCACCAGAGCAUAUCUCUGUGGACCCUGAGGUUCUCUUGUCCCAAGUCCUCUGUCACAGUGGGGAGUUCAUGUCAGCAGGGAGGAAGCCAAGCCUGUGACCAGCAGACCCCAGCUGCCACCAAGCCUCUUGGCCUGGACUAGCUGGCACCCUGAGAGGAGCAAGGGCUCAUAACACCCAAAAAGCUGCUGGGGGAGAAAAGCCAUCAGGAUUCCUCCCUGGUCCAGGACCUGGCACCUGGUUGGUACCUGCUAUGUGUCCAUGUCCGUGUGGCUGAAUAAACGAGUGAUGGUGUGAGCCAGGGCACUCACCGAAGUCCUCAGGCUGGGUUCUGCUCUCAAGCAGUUUUCACCUAUUAGAACAGAAGCAUUCUGUCCAGAGUCAGCAUAGGGAGGUGGAAAGCUCCUUAGCUCUGUAUUUAAGUGGGGCUUCUGCCAAAAUGUAGAUUCCUGGGCUGGGGGAUUCCACAGGCUGUCAUGGAUCAGAGCUGGUGGUGCUGGGGUACUGCAGCAUGUGGCCCCAAGCAGCACCUUGGGUGAUUGUGUGCGCACUGGAAUCUGAGAUUCCACUGCCUUGAAGAGGCUGAUGCUGGUCCAGUCUCUGCUUCAAGCUGAAGCUUGCGGAUAUGCUGAGCUUGGCGCCAUCAGGGGCAGGAAUGGGCACUCCUGUGCCACGUGCGGGGUAGGGGAGGCUGUAAGACUGUUUGUGGGGUUCUUAAGCCCUCUGUAUACUGAAAUCAAAGCUUCAGAGCCUUGAAAUGAUACAGAUGGCGGGGCUCCACCCUGAGAUUUGGAAGUUGUUGACCUGGGAGGGUCUGGGCAGGUGCUUCGUGAAAGCUUCCCCCAUGCUGUUAUUGAGUGGUUAACAUUUAGAACGUGAAUGUCUCAAAUGUCUGCUUUUUAUGACCCGUAACUGAGUACAGAGUGCCCAACUGGUGAGCAAUGAUGAGUGUUCCCAAUAUCACUGGUGUGCUCUCCUUUGGGGUGUCCAGCAGGACUGAACUUCCCUAGCCUAGAAGUUGAUCUGGGCAGGAGACCAGCUCUGGCCGUCAGGUUGGUAAAAGUGAUGUCCAGGUGCCAAGGCCACGGCUCCCGCUGCUCUGCCAGUCACACUGCGCUCACGGCCAGUGAGGGCACACACACUGUGCUGACGCCGCUGAGCUUUUGAGCUUCUUCGUCUCCACGUUACUCCCUAGCCUCUCCCGACAGACGUGUUGGGUCGGGUUUUAUCAGAGAGUGUUAAAGCUCACAAGAGUUCUGGAUCAUCAAAUGCCUCCUUCAUUACCUUGAUAGGAUAAGUGAACUGACUUUUCUUUUUUGAGCAAAUACAGUUUUCUAAGUCCUCCAGUUUUAUUUUUAAUAUGUCCCUCCCUGAGACACAAAGCCAGCCUUUUGGUGUGAAAAUGUUUGCUAUCGCCUUGUCAAGGUAGUGCAAUGCGAAAUGCAUUCAGUUCGUGGAACUUGGUUAUUUAGUUUGUCCCUGGGAAAUGAGUGUUAUGUCAGGUAAAAAAAUCCAAAAUGCUGAAAGCAAAUGGGGGUCUUUUCUUACAGAGAAAAAUGCCUGCAGGAACUCAACUGAUCCACGAGGGAUGUGCGCAAUGGGCUCUGUUCUCCUGAGUUCUAUUGAGGGAAAUUUCAAGUUAAGGAGGAGGAAGAAAAUACACCACUGAUUUUAUUUUUGAGAUGGAGUCUUGCACUGUCGCCCAGGCUGGAGUGCAGUGGCACGAUCUUGGCUCACUGAAACCUCUGCUUCCUGGGUUCAAACGAUUCUCCUACCAGUAGCUGGGAUUACAGGCACCUGCCACCAUGCCAGGCUAACUUUUGUGUUUUUAGUAGAGAUGGGUUUUUUGUCAUGCUGGCCAGGUUGGCCUCGAACUCCUGACCUCAAGUGAUCCACCUGCCUUGGCCCCCCAGAGUGCUGGGAUUACAGGCAUGAGCCACCGUGCCUGGCCACCACUUACUUUAAAAUGCAUUUUUUCCCCUCAGGGGAAAAUUAGCAGCUAUUAUGAUUUCCUGCUUUUUGUAAGAAUGUUUUUUCAACUUCUAAUGUUUCAGACUUACCGGAAGCUCCCUGCUAUUUAGGGUUUGAAUGAUUAUGUGGCUCUUUUCUAAAAGUCAAAAUUCACUUGACAAGGGCCAAUUCAAUUUUUCUGAAAUAUCUGAUAUGAAAUGAAGAAGCUUGUAGAUACUAAGAACUUUGGAGAACAUUGGAGGAGAGAAUGCCGGCAAUGGCUUGCACUUUCUUCAGCACCGCUGAGAGAAGGGUUUGGAAUGUGCCCUCUUGUGUUCCGGGCGAGUGCUCCCCAUCCUAAGCCACUCAGGUCCCCAGAACGCGACAGCACCUGGAGGGCAGUGAGCUCGUCGUCCUUGGCGUUUGAAGGCUAUCUACCUGUCCCAUCCCGGUAGGCCACCUUCCUGCUGGGAACACUGGAAAACCACAGAAUUGCUUCUGAUGAGGUCCCUGGGAAGAUGUGCUCCAGGACUCAAAGCCAUGCCUAAAGAGGUGGGUGUUCAGGCUGGCACCGAGGAGGCUGUGUUCAUGCGUUCCUCCAGAAGCGGCUCCCUGAGAGCAGGUUGGGGGCGUGGCAUCUAGACCAGCAGGGGGGUGAUCACGGCCCCUCCUGUCCUGCACACCCCUGUCCUAUGGCUUCUCCUUUUCUUCCCGGGACUGCACUUUCUAGGAGGAGGACAUGGCAUCCAGGAUGCAGGAAUAGCUGGUCAGGUGCUUGUCUUGGAGAGAGGCUGGUGCCAAGCUGCAGCUGUGGGUUCUCUUGCUGGUUGGCAUUCUGGGUGGGUACCAGCCUGGCUAAUGGGUACAAACUGGAUUCUCUGGGCUGAGGAAGACUAGGGUGAAAUCCUGCUUAGCCCCCACGUCACAUUCAUGUUUAGACUGCCCUGAGCUGCCUGCUCUUUGUGUGGAGGCUGCAGGCAUUGCCAAUAAAUACAGACCUAUACACCUGUGGGGUUAAAGUAAGUUGGCAUAGCUUGUGCAUCAAUUUGGGCUCACAGGUCAGGUGCAGUCCCUGGUUUUCUCUGUGAGUGGGUGGGGAGAGUGUCCAAGGGUGAGGAGCAAAAUCAUUCCAAUGGGGGGGGAGAGUCUGUGCUCCCUUCAGUAAGCCAGCAAGGCUCUCCUUCCUCCCUCUGUUAAAGAAGGAAGGGAAGGGUUCAGAGGACAGAGGUGGGCAAGGGAGGCGGGUGGCAUGGGAGGGACAGGAGGUGGGACAAAAAGAAGCAGUACUUUCUGGACGAAAGCCUGCUGACAUCUCUUGGCAUAGUCUGGGAGCUCAGCUGUGGGGGUCGGGUGGCACCCAAGGCUGCUGGGCACUUCAUCUGCAGUCCCCAGGCAUCCACUCCCUCCUCCUUGGAAGCUGACUUCUUAGACACAAGGGAAGCACCUCACAGACCCUCCUCCUAUGAAACUGAGACCUUACCCUUGCAUCCUUGGGUGGCCUCAGAGUGAGGAGAGCCGCUCUAACCAUUGCACACACGGGGGAUGGGUGCCACUUGCAUUGGCCACCAUUGCCCUAUUAACAUAGCAGUUUCCCUGAGUGUUGGUUAAAGUAAAAGCCAACCUUUUAGUCUGGAAAGCAGUGGAGAAGCACUGCCCUCUGACCAUCCUGGAUGAAAUCUCUUCUGAAAAUAGUCUUCUAAGGGUCUACAGAAAAUGAACAAUUAUAGGAGGACUGAAAGGUCAAAAAUGGCCCAUUUUAUUUUCUGGUUGCAAGUGGGUUUCUUUUUUGUUGUUUCCUCUUAAACAGCUGCUACAUUGUGCUGGCGAUCUUGCUUAGCUGCAUUAGAGGAGAAAAACACACCAGCCUUUGCUUCAAUCCAGACUCCUGUGCUGAUUAUUCUCAUUUUUGGUUUCAGUGCAGCAAACUUAUUCUUUUAUUUGAACAGCAGCAGCAUGUUCUGUUCUCAGCUGAGGGCAGCACAUAGCAGGUGGAGUCUCACUCUGUCACCCCGCCUCAGGAGUGUGCCCACCAGGAAGUCUGCUGCUGCUGCUGGUGGCGUGUGGGAAGGGAGCCCACAUCUGCCACGUGACCGGGGUGGCCUCCCUGGCUGAGGAGGCACAGCCUCGCCAGGUGUUGCCACCAGUUCUUCCUGCUGGCUCCCCCUCAUCCUGUGACUCUUUUUCCUCCUUCUUGGGUAACGAAUAAGAGCAGUGAUACAGGAGUUAAGGAGAGAUUCCUCAGGCAGAGAGUGCGGGCACGCAAGUCCUUGGUAAGGUUUUUCUUUUAAUGAAAAGCAGCCCCAAAUCGUUUUCCUUGCUAACAAAGAGCAGCCUGUAAAAUCGGGCUGCUACAUGGAUGCUGGCAGUGGUGCCAAUCACGUUCAGAAAUGGCGACGCCAUCUUCCCUUCUGCCAGACACCCGUAUGUAUAGUAAGGAGCUGACAAGAUGGCGCCGGCCCAGGUGAAAGGUCAUUUGCAUAAUAAGAUCCGGGUGGGGCGGCCCGACUUCCUCUCACGCUGUGUAAACGUCAUACCUGAGCGACGGAAGCUGUGAGCCUUACGUAAACCAGACAGCGCCGCCUCCAGCUGGGCUAGACACUCCCCUGCAUCCCGGACGCCUCUCUCCUCUGGCCGUGACCCCUUCAAGCUCAUCUUUGGCCCCAGUUUGCGUGCCAGAUCCUGGACUCUGUGAAGGUUUAAGAUUGAGGAGUGGAACCCCAGAAGGAACAAUGAAGUAAUUACCUGUGUGAAACCCAUGCGCAGCUUGCCUGUGUCCUGCUUCACGAGAUCCAGAGAUGGCGUUCAAGAGGAGCACAGGUGCACAGAACAAAUCCUCACAAAGGAAAGAAGAAUCCAACUUGGGAAAAAAUGAAACCAUUUUAUGUAUUCCAGCAAAAGCCAGCACAGAGCAGAUUCCAGUGAGAUGCUGGCUCGACCCCGAGCAAAGUGAGGCUCUCUGACCGGAACAAGGAGGAAAAAGAGACACUCUUAGAGUUAGAUUUCCUCAGAUUUUCUUACAAGGCAAAAUAGACUUAAUCUUAAAAAUUUCCUAAUGAAAAAGAAUUUACAUAUGGAGGAUAUGCUAAUUAAAAUAAUCUCUAAAUCAUUAACUUAUGUUUUGGAAGUAUUUAUAUACUGUCUCCUAGUCUCCGUAUCUCCUUGCUAAGGGUUUAUGAAUUGGCAUAGCUGGGCAUCAUCUGGGAUGGGAAAUGAAAUAGGACAUCCAUGCUUAUCUUCAGGGAUGAGAUCUGAAUGUGGAGUCACCUUAUCUAUUACACUGUUUCAGCAUUUCAGAUGUUCCUGGGAGCAAAAGCAGGACUGUCCUCACCAGCUCUAGGUGGCUAUCUGGGAGCAGGGUGAGAGGACUUGGCAUGCACACUGCUGUUUGCCUCCUGUGAUUGGCUGAAUGUGUUUCUCCAAAAUUCAUGUUUUGAAGCCCUCGAUGUAAUGGUAUUUGGAGAUGGGGUAGGGAGUUAGGUCAGAAGAUGGAGCCUCAUGAUGGGAUUAGUGUCCUCAUCAGGAAAGGAAAAGACAUCGGGUCUCCCUUGCUCCACCACAUGAGAAUUCAGCAAGAAGGUGGCCAUCUACAAAUCAGGAAGAAAGCCCUCACCAAGAGCUAAAUUUGCAGGUGCCUGGAUUGUAGACGCUCCAGUCUCCAGAACUGUGAGAAAUACAUUUCCGUUGUUUAAGCCGUGGUAUUUUGGUAUGGUUGUCUGAGCAGACUAAUACACUUCCCCUCCAGAGGCAACCACUGCCCAGUUAACCAUAGACUAAGGAGUCAAACUAGAUUAUUAAGAGAAGAAAAGCAUGGGUUUCUGUGGCAGCCCCUUUGGCAUUCCAUGUUUUUAUAAGUACAUGUAUUAGUUUGUUUUUACGCUGCUGAUAAAGACAUACCCGAAACUGGGAACAAAAAGAGGUUAAAUUGGACUUAGAGUUCCACAUGGCUGGGGAGGCCUCAGAAUCAUGGUGGGAGGAGAAAGACACUUCUUACACGGCAGCAACAAGAGAAAAAUGAGGAAGAAGCAAAAGCGGAAACCCCUGAUAAUUCCGUCAGAUCUCGUGAGACUUACUCACUAUCAUGAGAAUAGCACGGGAAAGACCGGCCCCCAUGAUUCAGUUACCUCCCACAACAUGGGAGAAUUCUAGGAGAUUCAAUUCAAGUUGACAUUUUGGUGGGGACUCAGCCAAACCAUGUCAAUCUGCUCCCAGCCCCUCCAAAUCUAUGUAUUCACAUUUCAAAUGCAAUCAUGGCUUCCCAACAAUCCCCAUUAACCCAAAAGUCCACAGUCCAAAGUCUCAUCUGAGAUAAGGCAAGUCCCUUCUGCCUAUGAGCCUGUAAAAUCAAAAGCAAGCUAGUUGCUUUUGCGGCGGAGGUAAAGAGAUUGGAUAAAUACAGCCAUUCCAAAUGCGAGAGAUUGGCUAAAAUAAAGGGGUUACAGGGCCCAUGCAAGUCUGAAAUCCAGCAGGACAGAUAAAUUUUAAAGCUCCAAAAUGAUCAUCUUUGACUCCAAGUCUCACAUCCAGGUCAUGCUGGUUCAAGAGGUGGGUUCCCAUGGGCUUGGGAAGCUCUGCUCCUGUGGCUUUGCAGGGCACUGCCUCCCUUGCACUGCUUUCACGGGCUGGCACUGAGUGUCUGUGGCCUUUCCAGUUGCACAGUGCAAGUUGUCAGUGGAUCUACCAUUCUGGGAUCUGGAGAACAGUGGCCAUCUUCUCACAGCUCCAGGAGGGACUCUGUGGGGACCCCAAGCCCACAUUUUCCUUCUUUAUUGCUCUAGCAGAGGCUGUCAAUGAGGGUCCUGCCUCUGCAGCAAACUUUUGCCUGGGCAUCCAGGUGUUUUGAUACAACUUCUGAAAUCUAGGUGGAGGUAGAUUCCCAAACCUCAAUUAUUGACUUCUGUGCACUGCAGGCCCAACACCAUGUGAAAACUGUCAAGGCUUGGGGCUUACACCCUCUGAAGCCACAGCCUGAGCUCUAUGUUGGCCCCUUUCAGCCACAGCUAGAGGAGCUGGGACAUAGGGCACCAAGUCCCUCGGCUGCACAUAGCACAGGGACCCUGGGCCUGGCCCAGGAAACCACUUUUUCCUCCCAGGGCUCCAGGCCUGUGAUGGGAGGGGCUGCUGUGAAGGUCUCUGACAUGGCCUAGAGACAUUUUCCCCGAGAUCUUGGGGAUUAACAUUAGGCUCCUUGCUACUUAUGCAAAUUUCUGUAGCUGGCUUGAAUUUCUCCUGAAGAAAUGGAUUUUUCCUUUCCACUGCAUUGUCAGGCUGCAAAUUUUCUGAACUUUUAUGCUGUUUCCCUUUCAAAAUGGAAUGCUUUUAACAGCACACAAGUCACCUUCUGAAUGUUUUACUGCAUAGAAUUUUUUUUUCAAUUUUUUAAAAUUAUACUUUAUGUUCUAGGGUACAUGUGCAGAUAGUGCAGGAUUAUUACAUAGGUAUACGUCUGCUGUGUUUGCUGCAUCCAUCCCCCAUCAUCUACAUUAGGUAUUUCUCCUAAUGUUAUCCUUCCCCAAUCCCCCCACCUCCUGCUAUCCCUCCCCUAGCCUCCCCAUCCCCCAACAGGCCCCAGUGUAUGAUGUUCCCCUCCCUGUGUCCAUGUGUUCUCAUUGUUCAACACCCACUUAUGAGUGAGAACAUGUGGUGUUUGGUUUUCUGUUCUUGUAUCAGUUUGCUGAGAAUGAUGGUUCCCAGCUUCAUCCAUCUCUCUACAAAGGACACAAACUCAUCCUUUUUUAUGGCUACAUGGUACUCCAUGGUGUAUGUGUCCCACAUUUUCUUUAUCCAGUCUAUCAUUGAUGGGCAUUUGGGUUGGUUCCAGAUCUUUGCUAUUGUAAACAGUGCCACAAUGAACAUCCAUGUGCAUGUGUCUUUAUAAUAGAAUGUUUUAUAAUCCUUUGGGUAUAUACCCAAUAAUGGGAUUGUUGGGUCAAAUGGAAUUUCUAUUUCUAGGUCCUUGAGGAAUCGCCACACUGUCUUCUACAAUGGUUGAACUAAUUUACACUUCCUCCAACAGUGUAAAAGUGAUCCUAUUUCUCCACAUCCUCUCCAGCAACUGUUGUCUCCAGAUUUUUUAGUGAUCAUGAUUCUAACUGGCAUGAGAUGGUAUCUCAAGUGAAGUUUUGAUUUGCAUUUCUCUAAUGACCAGUGAUGAGGAGCAUUUUUUUCAUGUUUGUUGGCUUCAUAAAUGUCUUCUUUUGAAAAGUGUCUGUUCAUAUCCCUCACCCACUUUUUGAUGUUUUUUUUUUUUUUUUCUUUUGAAUCUACUUGAGUUCUUUGUAGAUUCUGGAUAUUAGCCCUUUGUCAGAUGGGUAGCUUGCAAAAAUUUUUCCGAUUCUGGUGGUUGCCAGUUCACUCUAAUGAUAGUUUCUUUUGCAGUACAGAAGCUCUUAAGUUUAAUUAGAUCCCAUCUGUCUAUUUUGGCUUUUGUUGCCAUUGCUUUUGGUGUUUUGGUAAUGAAGUCUUUGCCUAUGCCUAUGUCCUGAAUGAUAUUGCCUAGGUUUUCUUCUAGGGUUUUUAUAAAUCAUCUCUUUCAAGUUCAAAGUUCCACAAAUCUUCAGGGUAAGGACAAAAUGCUGCCAGUCUCUUUGCUAAAACGUAACAAGAGUCACCUUUGCUCCAGUUCCCAACGAAUUCCUCAUCUCCAUCUGAGACCACCUCAGCCUGGACCUUAUUGUUUAUAUGCCUAUAGGCAUUUUUGUCAAAGUCAUUCAGUGAGUCUCUAGGAAGUUCCAAACUUUCCCACCUUUUCCUGUCUUCUUCUGAGCCUUGCAAAUUGUUCCAACCCCUCCCCUCCCUGUUGCCCAGUUCCAACGUUGCUUCCACAGUUUCGAGUAUCUUUUCAGCAUUGCCCCACUCUACUGGUACCAAUUUACUGUGUUAGUUUGUUUUCAUUCUGCUGAUAAAGACAUACUUGAAACUGGGAACAAAAAAAGGUUUAACUGGACUUGCAGUUCCACGUGGCUGGGGAGGCCUCAGAAUCCUGGCGGGAGUGAAAGACACUUCUUACAUGGUGGUGACAAGAGAAAAAUGAGGAAGAAGCAAAAGUGGGAGUCCCGGAUAAACCCAUCAGAUCUCAUGAGACCUAUUCACUAUCAUGAGAAUAGCACAGGAAAGACUGGACCCCAUGAUUCAAUUACCUCCCCCUGUGUCCCUCCCACAACACAAGAGAUUUCUGGGAGAUACAUUUCAAGUUGAGACACAGGUGGGGACACGGCCAAACCGUACCACUGCAUUUCCGUGUCACUUCCUCAGAAGUGGCAAUGUUAGGACCAUAUUCCAGUUUUUCUUUUCCCUUUCUUCCUCCGCCUCCUCUUUGAAAGAGAUACGGUUUUCUGGUUUGGAGAUUGGAGUCUGUCCCUUGGGCUACAUGGAAUCUCCACCUCUCUUGACUAUCUCAAACAUCUGCUGUGUGUGGUGGAUGAGGCUGUGAGCAUCUUCCUCUGUGAAGGUCCUGACCCAUGAGCCUCUUCAUGGGUUCUAUCACAUCCAUCUUCUCUGGGUAGAAACCCACACUUGUGUCAGCUGCUCUCUUGAACAGGAAAGAAAUGCACCUUUACUAGUGGAAAGUUUUCAUCCUGGGUCUGGAUUUUUCAUCUCACUUUACAAGGUGAAUCUUCCCCUAAGCUGUCCAUGGACAGUGACCUUCUUUUCUGGAGUUCAGACUCAAUAUCUGUGCAUAUAUAAUAUCUCCAGCUUUAGAGGCUGGUUUGUUGGAGUUGUAGGAAGAGAGAUUGAGUGAAGCAGUGUUUAUUGAGCUGAAAUUGAGGAAUUACAAGGAAAGAGUAAACAAUGCCACCUCUGGAAAGAUGUAAUCUAAUGUGCAGAUAUUUGGGAUCUACAGAAGAAAACAUGUUGAUAAGUUCCAAUCAUUUAUAGAAUGGGGGAGUACACAGAGGAGGUUGAGAAAAACAGUAGUUUUGAAUAAAAAUGUCAUGCUCUGUUUAUUCAAAUUACAAAAUUAAUAUGUAUUCAUAGCAAAAACUGGAAAAAUAUAUUUUUAAGAAAUUACAAGCACUAAAAUAAUUAAGUAAAUAGAAUUUCUUUUGGUGAUACUGCCCAGGAGUAUGUGUUUUUAACACUUUGGGGUAAGACUUUUCAGCCUAUUUUUGUGACCAUCAUUUUAUUAGUUAUCUUGUGAAAAAAUAAAAAUGGUUAUGAUAAAAUGUAUGCUUUUGUAGAUUAGACAAAAUAUAUGCAAGAAAAAUACUUACCAAAAGGAAGCCAUGGUGGCUAUUUUAUCAGUAUACUGAAUUAAAUUGCAUUUCUAAUGCCAGCAACAAACACUUAGAAAAUAUAUCUGUGAAAAUAUUCAAGGGAUAAAUAUAAAAAUAUGUGUAAAAAAUUAUGAAAAUUUAUUUUUAAAGUUAUUAAAGAAAAUAUGUGUAAAUAGAGAAAUAUACUAUGUGAAUGGAUAGGAAGACUCAAUAUUAUAAAGAUGAACUCCCAAGAAAAUGAAUUUGUAUCUUUAAAGCAUUGUGAAUGUUUUAUAUGUCAAAUAAUGUUCUCAUAUAAUAUGAUUUAACAGGUUUAUAGAACUCUGUUAUAUAGCUAUACCAUAAUCUACUUAAGCAUUCUUCUAUUGCUUAAUAUUAAGAUAAUUUUUCUAUUUUUCAUUCAUGUAAACUGUAUU